rnacentral:rRNA from 1 species
AUACGUAGGGGGCGAGCGUUGUCCGGAAUGAUUGGGCGUAAAGGGCGCGUAGGCGGCCCGGUAAGUCUGGAGUGAAUGUCCUGUUUUUAAGAUGGGAAUUGCUUUGGAUACUGUCGGGCUUGAGUGCAGGAGAGGUAAGUGGAAUUCCCAGUGUAGCGGUGAAAUGCGUAGAGAUUGGGAGGAACACCAGUGGCGAAGGCGACUUACUGGACUGUAACUGACGCUGAGGCGCGAAAGUGUCGGGAGCAAACAGGAUUAGAUACCCUGGUAGUCCACACGGUAAACGAUGAAUGCUAGGUGUAGGGGGUAUCGACCCCUUCUGUGCCGCAGUCAACACAAUAAGCAUUCCGCCUGGGGAGUACGGCCGCAAGGUUGAAACUCAAAUGAAUUGGCGGGG